GCUCGGGUGGUGAAAUGGUAGACACGCUGGAUUUAGGUUCCAGUGCCGAGAGGUGUGCGGGUUCAAGUCCCGCCCCGAGCA
rnacentral:tRNA from 1 species